AAUAAUGAUAUGUAUGUAUUAGUGUAGAACAGCUAAUAGCCUAAUAUGUAGAAAUGUUGAUAACUACUGGAUUAGUGACGCCAUAUCGUGUGGCGCAAUUUAGCGGGCAGCGCGCGUGUCGGUUACUCGGUUACUUAAUCCUCAUUCAUUGCGUGAGGAUCAUUCACACGUACCUCAAGCUCAAGCUCAAGCUCAAGCUCAAGCUCAGAUACAUACUUUCCUCCCGUCGACGACGAGUUUCAGUGCCAAACUUGUCCUCGCCUCUCUCGUCCUGCUUCCAGCGAACCUAAAUCAAUCAAGAAAUUAAAAAGAUUGGCGAACAAUAAAUAAAAAUUAUCGGGAUCACUUAAAAACAUUCGGAAACAUAUACAUCGACUGAUAAUUUGAUAUACGUACGAUGGGGUAUGUGAUUGUAAUAUCCUUACCGGUGAUCCUUUUCUUCCUGAUUACGGCCAUUGCUUGUUACCUAGUCGGUAGGAAUCGUGGUCGGAAAGAACGUUCCGGACUUCCUCAAUAUUACGGGCCUCCGCCUCCCGCUCCGCCUCCAUCCUUACCUCUUUCCACCAAAUAAAUUUCGGUACAAGUUUUUUUUUUUUUUUAACAUGUAUUAUAUAUACAAGGGCUACAAUUACUAUGUUGAAUUUUUGUAAUUGAAUAAAGUGCUGACAAUACAUCAUAUUAUGAUAAACAAUACUCCCUAUGUCCUAUAACAAAGUAUCAAUUUUUCCAUUUUA